UCUAAUAUGGCAGAUUAGUGCAUUGGAUUUAAACCCCAAUUAUAAAGAUUUACCUUUUUUUAGAA
rnacentral:tRNA from 1 species